rnacentral:rRNA from 1 species
UACGAAGGGGGCUAGCGUUGCUCGGAAUUACUGGGCGUAAAGGGAGCGUAGGCGGGUUAUCGCGUUUGGGGUGAAAGCCCGGGGCUCAACCUCGGAAUUGCCUUCAAAACUGAUAACCUGGAGUAUGGAAGAGGUAAGUGGAACUCCGAGUGUAGAGGUGAAAUUCGUAGAUAUUCGGAAGAACACCAGUGGCGAAGGCGACUUACUGGUCCAUUACUGACGCUGAGGCUCGAAAGCGUGGGGAGCAAACAGG